rnacentral:pre_miRNA from 1 species
GGGACAUAUUACUGUAUUUAACUGUAUUCACGAUGUGAAACAGGGGAUUACACUGUUUUAAACGGAAAGUGUAUCAAUUAACAUAAUAUACUCCU